GCAGGGUGAAAUACCGUUCUCUGCUGGAGGAUCCUUCGGUCGGCGGUCGACCGAAAUCAGGCAAAAAUACCCAACGUAUCGGAGCAUCGAAAAUCCUCCGUGGCAGCUGACAAAAUGCCUAGAAAGAUGUAACACCCGGAGGUCGCAAGAGCAGGAAGAGGAAAUCGGUGGUGGUGUAUCCGGCGCAGGGUGAUGAGGACACAGUCUAGCUCGAACCACCAGUGUAAAUGAAUGGGGCUAUGAAAACAUGACUAAAGAGACUGCUCUGGAGGAGACCCCAAUGACGUCAUGCUGGAGGAAGAACCGACUGCCCAAUUGACCGAUAAAAUUGGGGCAAAAAUCGUCUGAUAGUGCCAAGUGCCCAUUCUACAUAGGGAGUAUGCUGUUCCAAGGAGUUUCGGACCUGGUGUAGGCAAGCGGACAGAAAAGUUGUCCAUCGUUUCUUUACGAAAAAACUCGAUCACAUCUCGUACGGGGCAGUCCGCAUAGGAGUUUGGAUAUUUUCGCAUUGGUUGUUCCUGUGACGACGUGUACAAGAUGAUGGAAUUUGACAUUAAUGAUAUAAGAGCAAACAUGCAAUCCGGAUCGGAUCCAUUUCCUUGGACUACUUACGGGUGACAACGCAGCCAUCUUCGAGUCAGUGUUGCAUUAACCCUGGCGCCGUCGGAAUAAUCGUUUCCUUUUCGUUCUAAAGUGUCAAGAUGGCUCGGGGACCGGAGAAACAUUUGGAGCGUAUGAACGCUUCAAAAAGAUGUUGGACCAGACCAGACCAAUUUUGCCCCGCGUUCAUCCAUGGACCCACACAAGCUUGUGAUUUUCUUUCGCAUCUGAAGUACGUCUUGACCACCACCGAUGUCACCAAGAUCUGUAACGUCACAUCUAGAUCGAUGGCAAGGUUCACACUGACUUCAACUACCCGGUCGGAUUCAUGACUCACUCUUUGAUCUACGACGCCAAGGAUCGUUUCACCGUCCACCGUCCACCGUAUUACCGCGGAGGAAGUGAAGUAAGAGCUCCUGAAGGUGAGGUGCGUCAGAUCGGCCGUGGAAGGUGCCGUUCAUCUUGAUUGGAUCCGAGCAUCCACCAGAACGAUUAUUGUCACCGGUGAUGGACGUGUUCAAGUUCGACCACGAAGAUCUGUGCGUGACCAACUAUCAGAACGGAAGAUGAGCGGUUUGCAUGCCGGUAAUCGCUUUUUUAAACAGUGAGAAGAAGUCCUGUGUUGAAUGCUAAAAAUACAAAAAUCCGUUUAUAAUACCACUAUGAAAGUAAACUGAAAUAGGGGAACUUACGUAUUUUCGGCCGUUUUGUUCUCUUCGUCAUGGGGGGUUUUUUGAAACCUGUUGAUCUCAAAGUUGGCCUCAAAUCCUUCCCAACCAAGCUGAGUUAUAUGCCCAAAUUUCAGGCAAUUUGGACCACAAAAACCCCCCAUGACGAAGAGAACAAACCUGCCGAUAAUACCCUUUGUCACCCUAUGUAGAAGAAUACGAAAGCCCGCUUAGUCGAAGCGGUAUGCAAGCGAUGUUCAAUUUCCGAUCGGUUUAGGAUAGGGUGACGAUGGAUAUUAUCGGCAGGUUUGUUCUAUUCGUCAUGAAGGGAUUUUGUCAGCCAAACUACCUGAAACUUGGUCGUAUAGUUCAGCUUGGUUGGGGAGGAUUUGAGACCUAGGUACUCUGAGUUCAAUAGCUUUCAAAAAUCCCCAUGACGAAGAGAACAAAACUGCCAAAAUACGCAAUUUACCCUAUUUUCAUGUCCCAGUUGGGACAAAAACAAUAAAGGAAGCAAUACAUAUUAGUUCAACGCUUUAUUUAUUUUUGUUGUGUUUAUUGAUUGUUCAUUGCCUUCUCUUCUUUGUUCUUUUCUGUUGGCGAAAGUGCAACGGUAGCCCUAAAUUCGACCUAUUUGCGGAACCCCCUUUGGUCGACCUAAUUGCCGACACCAUUGUGCGCAUGUAUUUGACGUUUCCCUUUGCGCACGUCUUUUAACAAUAAGAACAUCUAUAGUGUAGUAGUAUGACCAAAGUUUAUUUACAUUUUUCAUUAUACGUUUUACUCUUGUGUACGGCAGAGAAGUUGUUAUAGAGAUGCGCGAAGACUGAAACCAAAGGUUCCAAUUGAACCGUCAAACGCGGUCCCAAUCGAGCAAAUUCAAGGAAAUAGAAAAACAUGGGAAACAAAGCGCAACAUGAAAGCACAUGAAAGUGUGUUAGUGCAAAGCAUGACGUCACUUGUAUGCUUGACAUCUUAUGGGCAGAUCAAACUAACACGCACGCGAAAAUAUAAUU